rnacentral:rRNA from 1 species
GACAGAGGGUGCAAACGUUGUUCGGAAUUACUGGGUGUAAAGCGUGUGUAGGCGGUCCACUAAGUCGGGUGUGAAAGCCCUGGGCUCAACCCAGGAAGUGCACUCGAAACUGGCGGGCUAGAGUAUCGGAGAGGUUGGUGGAAUUCUCGGUGUAGAGGUGAAAUUCGUAGAUAUCGAGAGGAACACCGGUGGCGAAGGCGGCCAACUGGACGAAUACUGACGCUGAGACACGAAAGCGUGGGGAGCAAACAGG